GACGAAGGAUGCAAGCGUUAUCCGGAUUCAUUGGGUUUAAAGGGAGCGUAGGCGGUUUGGUAAGUCAGUGGUGAAAUCUUUGGGCUUAACCCAGAAACUGCCAUUGAUACUGCUGAUCUAGAGUACAGUUGCCGUUGGCGGAAUAUGACAUGUAGUGGUGAAAUACUUAGAUAUCUGGAGGAACACCGGUGGCGAAGGCGGCUACCUGGCCCAACAUUGACACUGAGACCCGAAAGCGUGGGGAUCAAACAGG
rnacentral:rRNA from 1 species